GGGUGCUUAGCUCAGUUGGCUAGAGCGACUCGUUUACACCGAGUAGGCCGGGGGUUCGAGCCCCUCAGCACCCA
rfam:Parcubacteria bacterium GW2011_GWA2_31_28 TR15_C0002, whole genome shotgun sequence.